rnacentral:lncRNA from 1 species
UGAAGUGUCCCUGCUAUCAGUGCUAAACUGCUUAUAUUGUAGAUGUCACCACAAAACCAAACUACAUCAUUAAAGAUGCAAGAAAGAAAGGACCACACGUUAUUACAGCUGAAAUCAAAUUUUAAUUCCUUUUCAUACUCAGCAAUCAUAGUCUAAAAUUCAAUAGAUUCAACACCAUAAACAUGGCAGGAAGCUCCGUAAUGUUAGCAGUUGGUCCAAACUCCUAGCCUCAUACUCAUCAAGCCAAAUACACAUCAGAUUGGGAAACACCAUAAUUACUGCUUCUGCAUCAGAAAAUAAGAUCCAGUGGUUAUACACACUAAUAUUUUCCUAAUAAUAAGUCCAACCGGAUCCAACAUAUACUGGUGGCUAACGUGAACAAAUUGGGUCGAAUCUAGCCAGUGCAAUCGAGACUACGAUCCAGCAGGGGAAAAGGAUAAAAGUAAAUAAGAAUAAUUGUCACAACAUACUUUGCAUUGCCAUGUCACAAAAAAUAGGGUGAUGCCAAGAUGAAGUUGAGCAUGAGCUCGUACUUCGCAUUGCCGUGCCCAUCUACUUUUUUAGUAAAAUGUAGUUAUUUGUAAGCAUGAAAGAUGGAUGAUAAGAUAUAAUAGGCGAUGAUAGGCUACUGGUUCCAAUACAUAUAUUGGGAAGAAAUCAAAAACUUUGGAACAUUGAUAUUGCCUUAACUUUGGACGGUAAUAAUACUGGUACACAUAUACUGAAUAAAUGGAGUUCAAAGGGUAACACUACCAAACUAAUCAAAGUGGCAGUGCUGGCAUGAAGCAGCAAGACAAUUUGCAAUUAAAGGUGCAUUGAGCUUGUACGUCUUGUGCAAGAUUCAUGCAAGAUAUUAUGUUUGAGUUUGUUCAAAAGGAGUUGUUUAAUGAAUGAAGAUUUAAGCGGCAAACACGAAAAUAAGUUUAUAUGACUGCUCUUAUUAAAGAGCAUGGAUUAAACUUAUGCAAAGAUAUGGGGCUGACCUACAAACUUGUAAGCAACUUAAGAAGAACAGCCACAUUACUCUCUUUAUCCCCCAUUAUCCCAGAGACCAAUGCCCCCCACCGAAUUCCUCUCUCACCAUCCCUGCAUAAGAUAAAUAUGUUUGAUUAAGAGGACAAAAAGAUAGGGUGGGGGAUCAAAUGCCAAUAAAGGCUAUUGCAGGACACAUAAAUGGAUUUUAAACAGAAAAUUAUGUAUUUCAAAGAUAGCAAGCUCGUUAUGAUUUCUUUUACUUUGAGUAAUGAGUUGAUUUAGUGGUUUUCUUCCACUAAAGUGGCUAAAUAAUCUUUGGCAUUGCUUCAGUUCAGUUUAAAAAAUACAAUUGUUCUAUUUGUAUGCCUUCCACAGAGAAUGUGGCAUUCAACCCAUGAAAACAUUGGCUAUUUGAAUUCUGGACAGUCACUCCAAUGGAACGCAUAGAAGGAACCUUGAGCAAGAAAAUUUAUCAGGCUAAAGGGAUGGUCAAACAAUUUCUGAAACAUAAAUCACAUUACUUGAUUAUCUUCACAUUAAACCUCACAUUAUCAAGAAAUCUUAUUAUGUAAAGUUAUUUCUAACUAAGGGAGCCUCAUAGUGGUGAGAAAUUAGAAACAACACAUAAUCUUCUACCAAGUGUAUUCCCAUUAAUUUUGUUAUCUUUUGCUCCGACUUUACUUGGCUUGUUGUUCAUCAGUAUGCAACGGGUCGAAGUAGGAUAAAAUUAACAUUGAUAAAAAACUCCAGCUUCACCUCCAUGAGCAUUGACCUUCAUGAAAGCUUUGUAGUACCAGCAGAAAACCCAUGCAGUCAUUGCUAUAUAUCCAACACUGCAGGAAGUAAAAUCAUUUGGAUUUGCUUGAUAACGAACUGGCCAUGACAUAACCUUAAAAAAGGAACAUGUCACUAAUCAAGAUGGCUUGGAAUAGCUUAGGAUUCAACAAAUGCGAUAUUCAGAUGACUGUAAUGGUACCGUAAAUAAUAUGAUCCUUUGGCGAUUUGAUUUCCUUCUUACUAGUUAUAUACAUAAUUUGAAGAAUUACAAUAUCAAUUUCAGUCCCUGCUAAAGUACUCCAAUCUCCUGCAGAUAGAUUCACAAGCAUUACGAACCCCAAUGGACACAAAAAAAUGAAACUAUGCAGCGUAAAUAACUUAUAGAAAUAAUUGAGUGCUCCCUCAGCUCAGCUCAAGGACCAUGGAUGAAAUUUGAAAUCUCUCUAUGCGAACAGACGCUAAGCAUAAUGAACAAUAUGCUCAUUUUUUAUACAAGUAUGAGGGGAAGGGGGUUAGCUGACUGAGUCCGAAAUCUAAUCCAUGGGAGAUUCUUAGUAACCUUACCGAGAUGGAAGCCAUAGCCACGAUGUAGCCUCACUGUGGUCCUCCGCCAUGAGCUCCUUAAUCCUGUAAGGAGGAACCAUUUUUGCAACCAGUCUAAUCAUGAGUAAAAUAAGUUAAUAUGGUAUGCAGAUUUGCAGAUCAUGAAUUGAAGAAUUAAGACACGGGCAUCCAAGAAGAAAUUUGGCUCAACAUUUAGUCGAACACAAACUGACAAAAUUCAGAAGCACUUACGAUUGGAGACAUUUGAGUGUCCUUGAUGUUGAGAUGCAGGGGCGGCUCAGCGACAUGUACAUGCACAAGCGCAAAAGGGGUGCGCCCAUGACGUCGAGGAGCACCCGGAGUUCGUUGCAGGUCGAGCCGGCGCCGACCGCCCAGGCAGCUACUGAAGAAGGCGUUUGGGUGAGUUUCUCGUGAAUCCAUCGCCAAAUGCGAUAUUCAGAUGACUGUAAUGGUGCCGUAAAUAAUAUGAUCCUUUGGCGAUUUGAUUUCCUUCUUACCAGUUAUAUACAUAAUUUGAAGAAUUACAAUAUCAAUUUCAGUCCCUGCUAAAGUACUCCAAUCUCCUGUAGAUAGAUUCACAAGCAUUACGAACCCCAAUGGACACAAAAAAAAUGAAACUAUGCAACGUAAAUAACUUAUAGAAAUAAUCGAGUGCUCCCUCUGCUCAGCUCAAGGACCAUGGAUGAAAUUUGAAAUCUCUCUAUGCGAACAGAUGCUAAGCAUAAUGAACAAUAUGCUCAUUUUUUAUACAAGUAUGAGGGGAAGGGGGUUAGGUGACUAAGUCCGAAAUCUAAUCCAUGGGAGAUUCUUAGUAACCUUACCGAGAUGGAAGCCAUAGCCACGAUGUAGCCUCACUGUGGUCCUCUGCCAUGAGCUCCUUAAUCCUGUAAGGAGGAACCAUUUUUGCAACCAGUCUAAUCACGAGUAAAAUAAGUUAAUAUGGUAUGCAGAUUUGCAGAUCAUGAAUUGAAGAAUUAAGACACGGGCAUCCAAGAAGAAAUUCGGCUCAACAUUUAGUCGAACACAAACUGACAAAAUUCAGAAGCGCUUACGAUUGGAGACAUUUGAGUGUCCUUGAUGCUGAGAUGCAGGGGCGGCUCAGCGACAUGUACAUGCGCAAGCGCAAAAGGGGUGCGCCCAUGACGUCGAGGAGCACCCGGAGUUCGUUGCAGGUCGAGCCGGUGCCGACCGCCCAGGCAGCUACUGAAGAAGGCGUUUGGGUGAGUUUCUCGUGAAUCCAUAG